GCGGGAGUGGUGUAGCGGUAACACGCCACCUUGCCAAGGUGGAGAUUCGCGGGUUCAAAUCCCGUCUCCCGCU
rnacentral:tRNA from 1 species